GUCGAGGGGCAGCACAGGUAGCAAUACCGGGUGGCGACCGGCGCACGGGUGAGUAACGCGUAUGCAACUUGCCUAUCAGAGGGGGAUAACCCGGCGAAAGUCGGACUAAUACCGCAUGAAGCAGGGGCCCCGCAUGGGGAUAUUUGCUAAAGAUUCAUCGCUGAUAGAUAGGCAUGCGUUCCAUUAGGCAGUUGGCGGGGUAACGGCCCACCAAACCGACGAUGGAUAGGGGUUCUGAGAGGAAGGUCCCCCACAUUGGUACUGAGACACGGACCAAACUCCUACGGGAGGCAGCAGUGAGGAAUAUUGGUCAAUGGGCGUAAGCCUGAACCAGCCAAGUCGCGUGAGGGAUGAAGGUUCUAUGGAUCGUAAACCUCUUUUAUAAGGGAAUAAAGUGCGGGACGUGUCCCGUUUUGUAUGUACCUUAUGAAUAAGGAUCGGCUAACUCCGUGCCAGCAGCCGCGGUAAUACGGAGGAUCCGAGCGUUAUCCGGAUUUAUUGGGUUUAAAGGGUGCGUAGGCGGCCUUUUAAGUCAGCGGUGAAAGUCUGUGGCUCAACCAUAGAAUUGCCGUUGAAACUGGGGGGCUUGAGUAUGUUUGAGGCAGGCGGAAUGCGUGGUGUAGCGGUGAAAUGCUUAGAUAUCACGCAGAACCCCGAUUGCGAAGGCAGCCUGCCAAGCCAUGACUGACGCUGAUGCACGAAAGCGUGGGGAUCAAACAGGAUUAGAUACCCUGGUAGUCCACGCAGUAAACGAUGAUCACUAGCUGUUUGCG
rnacentral:rRNA from 1 species